rnacentral:rRNA from 1 species
GACGAACGCUGGCGGCGUGCUUAACACAUGCAAGUCGAACGGAAAGGCCCUGCUUGCAGGGUACUCGAGUGGCGAACGGGUGAGUAACACGUGGGUGAUCUGCCCUGCACUUCGGGAUAAGCCUGGGAAACUGGGUCUAAUACCGGAUAGGAGCCAUUUUUAGUGUGAUGGUUGGAAAGUUUUUUCGGUGUAGGAUGAGCUCGCGGCCUAUCAGCUUGUUGGUGGGGUAAUGGCCUACCAAGGCGGCGACGGGUAGCCGGCCUGAGAGGGUGGACGGCCACAUUGGGACUGAGAUACGGCCCAGACUCCUACGGGAGGAAGCAGUGGGGAAUAUUGCACAAUGGGCGAAAGCCUGAUGCAGAGACGCCGCGGGGGGGAGGACGGCCUUCGGGUUGUAAACUCCUUUCGCUAGGGACGAAGCUUUUUGUGACGGUACCUAGAGAAGAAGCACCGGCUAACUACGUG